rnacentral:rRNA from 1 species
AUUGAACGCUGGCGGCAGGCUUAACACAUGCAAGUCGAGCGGAGCGAGGGUGCUUGCACCUUAGCUUAGCGGCGGACGGGUGAGUAAUGCUUAGGAAUCUGCCUAUUAGUGGGGGACAACAUUCCGAAAGGAAUGCUAAUACCGCAUACGCCCUACGGGGGAAAGCAGGGGAUCUUCGGACCUUGCGCUAAUAGAUGAGCCUAGGUCGGAUUAGCUAGUUGGUGGGGUAAAGGCCUACCAAGGCGACGAUCUGUACUGGGUCUGAGAGGAUGAUCCGCCACACUGGGACUGAGACACGGCCCAGACUCCUACGGGAGGCAGCAGUGGGGAAUAUUGGACAAUGGGCGGAAGCCUGAUCCAGCCAUGCCGCGUGUGUGAAGAAGGCCUUUUGGUUGUAAAGCACUUUAAGCGAGGAGGAGGCUCUUAAGGUUAAUACCCUUGAUGAGUGGACGUUACUCGCAGAAUAAGCACCGGCUAACUCUGUGCCAGCCGCCGCCGUAAUAC